AAAUAAGAUUGAUGCAAUUUGAUUUUUUAAACAAAUGCAUUAUUAUUCUUGAUAAAUUUGUAUUUGGAUAAAAAAAUAUUCUCUAUUCCAAAUCAUUUGACAUCCAAUAUAUAACUUUGUUUUCUGUCAUAGUUAAAUCUUGCAUUGAUGUUGUAAGCAGAAAUUAAUUUCAUCUCACAUACCACUUCAUUAAUUUGUUUAGAAAUUUGUGCAAAAACAAUAAAAUUAUAACUACAAAAUCAAAAAUUUAUCAAAUACUGCAAUGACUUUGAUGAAUGAAAUUGUUUUAUUUUGCAAAAUUUUUUGUUAUAAGUUUCAACAAGAUUAAAAGCAUGAUCUUUAGAUUAGAAAGUCUGGACACUCGUUCAGAAGGUUCUACUGCCAUUCCUGUUAGCCACCAGGUGUCACAUAAGUUUCACUAUCAGUCAGUUAUUCUAUCGGUUUCUUCCAUGGUUCCUUCAAAUGUUUGCUUUUUAAUGGACUUUUUAAAUACAAUAUUUUAUAAAAUAAA
rnacentral:lncRNA from 1 species